rnacentral:rRNA from 1 species
ACCCAUGGCACAGGUAUAGGCGAAGGCAUCCCCUUAUGUGAUAACUGACGUUGAGGGACGAAGGCUUUGUGUAGCGAACAGGAUUAGAUCCCCCAGUAGUCGAAGCAGAAAAUGAUGAAUGUCAUAGAUUAGAUAUAUAAGUUUAUUCUAUAAAUGAAAGUGUAAGCAUUCCACCUCAUGAGUAAUUUGGCAACAUUGGAACUGAAAUCAUUAGACCGUUUCUGAAACCAGUAGUGAAGUAUGUUGUUUAAUUUGAUGAUCCGCAAAAAACCUUACCACAAUUUGAAUAUUUAUAUUAUUUAUUGUUUUAUUAUUAAUUUUCUUGAAGAAAAUUAAUAAAGAGGCAAUAAGAUAUAUUUACAAGCGUUGCACGGCUGUCUUCAGUUAAUGUCGCGAGACUUUGGUUAGUUCCAUUAAAUUA